GACGAACGCUGGCGGCGUGCUUAACACAUGCAAGUCGAACGGAAAGGCCCUGCUCUUGUGGGGUGCGCGUGUGGCGAACGGGUGUGAAACACGCGUAUAACCUGCCCUUGACUGUGGGAUAACUUCAGGAAACUGGGUCUAAUACCGGAUAGGAGCUCCUGCUUCAUGGUGGGGGUUGGAAAGUUUCGGCGGUUGGGGAUGGACUCGCGGCUUAUCAGCUUGUUGGUGGGGUAGUGGCUUACCAGGGCUUUGACGGGUAGCCGCCCAGAGAGGGUGACCGGCCCCAUUGGGCUUGGGAUACGGCCCGGACUCCUACGGGGGGAAGGGAUGGGAAAUUUUGCACAAUGGGCGGAGGCCGGAUGCAGCAACGCCGGGUGGGGGAUGACGGCUUUCGGAUUGUAACCCGCUUUAGCCUGGAACGAACAGUGUGUGACGGUAAUGGGUAAAGAAGCACCGGCUAACUACGUG
rnacentral:rRNA from 1 species